CAAAAAAGAAAAAUAGUCCAAUUCAUCUCAUGUAAAUAUUUUUCUUGGCACAUAAUAGGUGGGAACGCAGCAGGAGUGUUCUGUGUGCACUUGCAUGUCCUCGCAUCAGGUGCUGUAAAAUGUGGAUAUGAGGAUGAUAGAAUAGUGAAGAUAAUUUUUAAUGCUUCAACCAAGAAACUUUGAAAUGAAACUGGCUUGGAGUUGUGUUUCUGAGACAUGGUUGCAGUUCUACGAGAGACCACUGGACUCCGUGUAUUGAAGCUCCUCAGAGACCCGAUGAGGAGGGAUCCAGAGGGUGCCCAGAUCUUACAGGAACGUCCCCGGAUCUUACCGUCCACCCUCGACCUAGGCAAGAUCCAAAGCCGGCCUCAGAGCUCCCUGUUUCCUGUAUGAGAAUGUGCUGGGGAACUAGACAACCAGCCAGGUAGCUCCUGCCCUCACGGUGCUCAUUCUGUAGUUGGGGAGGCAGACAGGAAAGCUGUAAAAUAAGAAAAUUCACAUAAGGAUUCAGGCGGAUACUAGCAGUAAUGAAAACGUGCCAGAACAGUUGGUACACAGGGAAUGAAACCAGCGAAGAGCCUGCCCGUGU